UACGGGGGGGGGCAAGCGUUGUUCGGAAUUACUGGGCGUAAAGGGCUCGUAGGCGGCCAACUAAGUCGGAUGUGAAAUCCCCAGGCUUAACCUGGGAACUGCAUCCGAUACUGGAUGGCUUGAAUCCGGGAGAGGGAUGCGGAAUUCCAGGUGUAGCGGUGAAAUGCGUAGAUAUCUGGAGGAACACCGGUGGCGAAGGCGG
rnacentral:rRNA from 1 species